UUCUGAGUUUCGAUUUCAUGUACGAAUUAGGAUCCACUCGGAUCGAUUAUAAUUUUCCGCUGAUUAUUUUUUAUUCUGUUUUCAUUUCACCAAUUUUUAUUCGUAUGUGUCUGUUAGUGAAGUAAAAAUAUUUAAAAUUAUAUUAAUGAAUUUCAAUUGCAAUUUUGAAUCUCGGCAACAACCACAAUUGUGGCUGCAUUGCCAGCAGUUUCUUGCAAUUUUGCUGAUUGCGACAAAAUUCUGAAAGUAUCAAUGAUGUAGCUUGGUUGAAGAAGAAAGUGGGACAGAGUUGCCUGGCGAAGGAUUGAACCUCUGGAUCUGGCACCUUCUCAAGAAAAAGGUAUUAAUGUCAAAGACUUUAACGUAUUAUCAAGGGGGAAGUAGGUGGAUACAGGAGUUGCCAUUUAUUCUUAUCUGGAGGUGAUAGUUCAUCUCUUAGUGUUGCUCCAUCUCCUGGAAAUGCAUUUCAGUUUAGUCUGCAUCUUUCUUCAGAUGUUGAUUUACUCUAUUGCCCAACUCAAGAUUUGUAUCAAUCUCAUCAUGCAGCUGCACUAAGUAAAGCUCUGUCGUUGCAACCUGCUCAAACUCCGUUGAUUUGAGAGAGAACAUGCAUUCCGUGAUGGAUGAUCAUGCUUGUGAACAAGAUGGGAUGGCAGCAUACAUUCCAGAAACAACGAAAAAAGAUUCUUUAGAAUCUCCCGUUGAUACAAUUGGUUCUGUUAGACAACAGAAAGAAAAACCCAAAGUCGAAUGUUUCAAAAGUGAUGAUAUCAGCGAUGCAGUUGAACUUUCAAUUGCAGCAUCUGAUGCAUUGGUCAUUCAUGAUUUAGUGAAGACAGCGUCAGUAUCAGAAAAAUCGAGUAGAGCUGUACUUGAAAUUGCACUUCGUGUGAAGCAGGCACGUCUUGAGGGUUCAAAAGAUGGCUUCCUUUCAUCAAGUGUGGAAUCUGACUGUAGUGAUUCUCUUUCUGAUUUAAAUGAUUUCCUUAUGGAAGAUGCCUAUGAAGAUCUAGGCUUAUCUGUUGGUGUUUCCUUUGAAGAAAAUGUUUGCAAUUCAGCUGAAUUUCAUGCAAAAGGUGUGUCCGGUGACGGUGAUGAAUGUUAUAAUGGAGGAAGUAAUAAACAUGAUGAAAGAGAGAUUACAUCCCAGCUUACCAAAUUUGAUGAUAAAUCUGAACAAAAGAAGUUAGGAGUCAACGUGGAAAUGGAAGUGCAGUAAAAUCCAGACUUACCUCCACAUUCUUUAUGUGGUGAGAGGGUGAUGCAUUCCGAUGAUACUGGUUUGGGUGCUAAUACUCCAAAACAUUUUGUCAACAAUUAUCCCACAUCUCAUCAAUACAAAGAGAAAAAUACCAACGAUUUAGCCCUCAACAAAACAGAUGGUUUGGCUAUGGCGGAUCUUACUUCAAUCAAGACACAAAAUAGUGUCAACUCUUCACCUUUUCAGACUUCUGAAAAUUUCAAAGAGGAGAGAAAUGAGAACCGGGCAACUUACCUAGCUCCUGCUCCAGAAAGACUUAGAAGCCGCUGGUUAGGGGGUUGGACAUGUAAGGAAUUAGAUUCAUCCUCAUUGAAACAGAACAGUGCAAAAGGGAUUCCAAAGUUUCAUGUCAAGGAGACAAGCUUUCUUACGGAAUCUGCAGAUAUUGUUCCAGAUGAGAACUCACGUCUACUGAAACAUGACCCCAAGUGUGUCAGAGAGACACGCUUUCUCACAGAAUCUGCAGAUGUUGUUCUAGAUGAGAGCUCACGUGUGCUGAAAUAUGAUCCCAAGUGUGUCAGAGAGACAAGCUUUCUUACAGAAUCUGCCGAUAUUGUUCCAGAUGAGAGCUCAUGUGUGCUGAAGCAUGAUCCUAAGCAUGCCAUUAGUUCUCAGCUAAGUAUGCAUUGUGAAGGUUCACACAACAAAUCUGAUGAGGGUGUGUUGCAUUCUCAAGAUAUGGUCAGAUGUUCUAGUCUAUCAUUGAUUGAUCCCCUUUGUUCAGUUGUUCCAUGUAGCUUUGCUUCAGAACAUGACAAUUACGAAACUCGUAUUGGCAAAGAAAACGGUACCGAGUUUUUUCCCCGUUAAUCUCUGACUUUGAGGUGGACAAUUGUCAAAGGAUCUCAGAUAAAAAUACUACAUUGGACUGUAGAGAUGAGAAAAUCAAAUCUACACUAGUUGGGAAAGAUACUCCAAUUACUGCAACAGAGAUGGUUGAACAAAUGUCUGACAAGUUAACCAGGGUCGAGCAUACUUCUCUUAAGGCUUACAGCAUGAUUUUACCAAACCAAGAUGUUAACCAAAACUGUAAUUUGACACCACUUUCAACUAAUCAAAGUAUUGGUGUUGCUGAUGCAUCUUUAGGCACAAGGGUUUCAGAGUCUCCCUCUGCAUCCAAGCAUGAAGGUGAAAACAGAAAUGAAGUGAAUCAUCAACAUUUGAUUAAUCAAAAGUCAAUUAUACAAAUAAACGAUGACAAGAGUGAUGAGUUGAAAGCCUCAGAAUAGACACAAGAGAAGAGGUCACCUAUUAAUCUAAACCAUAGGACACACCACCGCUUGCUGGGUCCUAAAACUGCUGUAAAUGAUAUCAGUGUAGAGAAAAAUAUAAACCAAUAUUUAGUACCGGAAACUGUUGUUCAGCAUCAACAGAACAAUAAUCUUUGUAAGGUACAAGUUGAGUGCAAUAAAUUCCCUGAUGGACAUGUUAGAGUCCGAAAGCAAGUACACUUCUCAGAUAAAGUGGAGGAGCUUCAUCAGAAAAGGAAAUUGUCAAUGUUGGAAUCUUCACAUAAAAGAGGUUCAUCUAUUAGAGCAAAAAGGCAACGGGUUUCAAAGUCAUUGACCACUUCUGCACUUCGAGGCAGAGAGUUCCUCUUCACUGGAUUAUCUCGUCACAAGGAAAGGGACCUUGAAGCACUCAUAAGGAAUUUUGGUGGGGUGAUUCUUUAUGAUAUUCCUUCACCACCAAAUUCAAAGGGCAAAAGAAGUUCAACCUUAUCUUGCUUGCAGCUUCCUAUUAUUCUAUGUAAAAGAAAGACAUCAAAAAAUGGCACGUUCUCCUGCAACAAAGCCAAAUCCUCCUCCUCGCCGUGGCCAGAAGUUUGCCGUUAUUACUCUUAAUCAGGUUUUUGAUGCCAAUUUUUCGCGAAAAUACAACGUAUCAUUUAAGCCGGUUCUUUGUGACAAUCCUUGGGAGUCUGAUAGGCUAAAGAAAUGUUCCGCUUUGGCCAUAGCGAAUUAUAAUAUGCUAAAGGGUACACACUACCAAUUUGUCAAUGUUGAGAUGGCUACUUAUCGAGUAGUUGCUGGAACCAUUUACCAUAUCACCUUUAAAGCCAGGAGGAAUGCUGAGAAUGAGAAUGAAUGUAGCUCUUUUCAAGCCACUGUGUUUCAUGACAAAUCUAUGAGAGAGGUUAUGUAUAUCAGGAAGAAAGGGAGCCGUAAUUGGUGUGAUGGGAGUCUCAGCAAGGUUGUUGAGACUCAACCUAGUGAGGAGGGGGAAUCAGCUAAUCCUGUUAUCCACCAGGGCAUGAGAGGGCCCCAGCAGCCGUUAUUGGUGUAUUCUAGAAGAAAGGGUAAUAGGGUCCACAAUGAGUAGUUGGUUAGAGUGCCAAGGAGAGAGAAGAUUACAUUUAAUCCAUAUGCACAAUAUAAGGAGCAGAGGAGGGUAAGAGUAUCUUACCUUGGAUUCAGUAUCAUUCUAAGGAGGAAUAGAAAGUAGCUAUGCUCUGUGUCAGAUCUGAGGAUUAUAUUCUCAGUUGCUGUAUUACUUUUAUCAAUAAAAUCAUAAAUAAAGUUCUUAUUUCCUUUCAAUCUUCA